rnacentral:rRNA from 1 species
AUUGAACGCUGGCGGCAUGCCUUACACAUGCAAGUCGAACGGCAGCGGGGGAGAAGCUUGCUUUUCCUGCCGGCGAGUGGCGAACGGGUGAGUAAUACAUCGGAACGUGCCCUGUAGUGGGGGAUAACUAGUCGAAAGAUUAGCUAAUACCGCAUACGACCUGAGGGUGAAAGUGGGGGACCGCAAGGCCUCAUGCUAUAGGAGCGGCCGAUGUCUGAUUAGCUAGUUGGUGGGGUAAAGGCCUACCAAGGCGACGAUCAGUAGCUGGUCUGAGAGGACGGUCAGCCACACUGGGACUGAGAACCGGCCCAGACUCCUACGGGAGGCAGCAGUGGGGAAUUUUGGACAAUGGGCGAAAGCCUGAUCCAGCAAUGCCGCGUGUGUGAAGAAGGCCUUCGGGUUGUAAAGCACUUUUGUCCGGAAAGAAAUGGCUCUGGUUAAUACCUGGGGUCGAUGACGGUACCGGAAGAAUAAGGACCGGCUAACUACGUGCCAGCAGCCGCAGUAAGAC